UGCAAAUUUCAUCUCUGCUUCCUGUCUCAUCCUGCCAGGUAGAAAAGUGAGCUCUUGGUGUCCUCUCAGAACACACAGAUCAUCUAAAACCAAUAAGACAUCAUGUUUCUGUUCUCUUGUCUUUUGUGUCUGUCUUCAUUUCUUGGAGUCAUGUCACAAACACUUACUCAGUCCUCAUCAGAAAUAAAAAAGCCUGGAGAGAGUGUGAAGAUGUCCUGUGUAGGAUCUGGAUAUACAUUCAGCAACUACUAUAUAAGCUGGGUUCAACAAGUCCCAGGGAGAGGACUGACAUGGAUUGGGAGGAUUGAUCCUGCUGAUGGAGAUACAGAUUAUUCAUCUUCACACCAGGGAAGAUUCACAAUAACAUCUGAUAAGUCCAUAAACACAGCAUAUCUACAAAUAGACAAUCUGAAAGUGGAAGACACGGCCACAUAUUACUGUGCUAGAUACACAGUGAUCCAAGGAUGGCUCCUGUCAUACAAAAACAUCCAUCUGUAA